rnacentral:rRNA from 1 species
CCUACGGGUGGCAGCAGUGAGGAAUAUUGGUCAAUGGCCGGAAGGCUGAACCAGCCAUGCCGCGUGAAGGUCAGUGCCCUAUGGGCGUUAAACUUCUUUUGUGCGGGAGCAAUAAUGGUCACGUGUGGCCAGACGAGAGUACCGUACGAAUAAGCAUCGGCUAACUCCGUGCCAGCAGCCGCGGUAAUACGGGGGAUGCAAGCGUUAUCCGGUUUUAUUGGGUUUAAAGGGUGCGUAGGCUGGGGGGUAAGUCAGCGGUGAAAUGCCCCCGCUCAACGGGGUGAAGUGCCAUUGAUACUGCCUUGCUGGAAUGCGGAUGCCGUGGGAGGAAUGUGUGGUGUAGCGGUGGAAUGCAUAGAUAUCACACAGAACACCGAUUGCGAAGGCAUCUCACGAAUCCGCGAUUGACGCUGAUGCACGAAAGCGUGGGUAUCAAACAGGAUUAGAUACCCUAGUAGUC